rnacentral:rRNA from 1 species
GAUGAACGCUGGCGGCGUGCCUAAUACAUGCAAGUCGAGCGAACGGACGAGAAGCUUGCUUCUCUGAUGUUAGCGGCGGACGGGUGAGUAACACGUGGAUAACCUACCUAUAAGACUGGGAUAACUUCGGGAAACCGGAGCUAAUACCGGAUAAUAUUUUGAACCGCAUGGUUCAAAAGUGAAAGACGGUCUUGCUGUCACUUAUAGAUGGAUCCGCGCUGCAUUAGCUAGUUGGUAAGGUAACGGCUUACCAAGGCAACGAUGCAUAGCCGACCUGAGAGGGUGAUCGGCCACACUGGAACUGAGACACGGUCCAGACUCCUACGGGAGGCAGCAGUAGGGAAUCUUCCGCAAUGGGCGAAAGCCUGACGGAGCAACGCCGCGUGAGUGAUGAAGGUCUUCGGAUCGUAAAACUCUGUUAUUAAGGAAGAACAUAUGUGUAAGUAACUGUGCACAUCUUGACGGUACCUAAUCAGAAAGCCACGGCUAACUACGUG